CCACUUUGACAUGGGAGAGAUCUGGAGAACAUUUAUUUAACAAUUUUUGAGUGCGUACCAUAUGCUCAGGACUGGGCCAAGUUGUGACAAUCCAAGAAUGAACAAGUUAUACUCAAGAUCUCUGCUUUCUAGAGUUUACAGCCUAGUGAGAAAGAAAGACAAGUAACUUUGGGAACUUUUGAGAAUAAGGCUGUAGAAUAUUUACAUUUAUUAUAUAACAGGCAUUCUUUAAUAUUUGAGGCAACAUUAUUUUCUCAUCUUUCCAUUGAACUAAAUUGGCUAAAACCGGUAACAAUCUCUGCUCUGUGCUGGGGGUGGCAAAUGUCAGCCUGGAAUUCAGACAGUCCUCCACUAAGUGAAGACUCCAAUGAAUAAUGGAGCAAACAGUACUCCGGGCAGACAGCCAUCAAGAGCUUCUACAAUUAAGAUAAAUUGAGUUUGAAUUAAACUUCUUCAAAAUUUUUGGUGCACCACAAAAUUAACACAUCAUGAGAAAACUCUGAAGUUUGAAAAAUGGAGUUUGAAAGAACAUGGUCAAACCCCAAGCAACAUUCUCCUGAGAGUCUGAUCACUCUUUUAAGUUGACCAGAAAAAGCAGAGUAUUACAUAUGAACAGUGGAAGGCCCUGCCAUUUAUUUCUGUCUAAGUUUGGGACAUUGAAUGAUUCUAAUUAUAAAGAUAGUUUUGUGUCCUCAUGUCUAACUUUAACUUAGCAUAGAAAAAAAAAAUCAUCCAAACAUCUGAAAGAAAGUUAUCCCUGUUGGAGACCAACUCUGUCUGCAUAUUUGUUAUAUUGUCAAUUCAUGAGUAACUGGCUUACAAUUUAAAUUAUAAAGACUAGUCAAAUUUUUAAUAAUUUUCUAAGUUUGAAAACAUAGUUAUAAUGAUACAAAGCACAGUGUAUGAAAUCUGCAGGGUCUAAAUCUGUUUCUGGCAAUGAGCCACAAACCCCUUAGCUACCUAAUAGCUAAGGUACUGUUUUGCCUAUUAUUCAUAAGUUUUUAUAUUAUUAAAUGCACUUAUCGGUAUCUUUAUUUAAGAUGUGUAUCUUGAACCCCAGUAUCAUUUAAUAAUUUGCCGAAUUUUUCUAUCAAAAUUUACAAUGUAAUAAAUUUUAAUAAUGUCUUUAAAUAAUAAUAAUGUCUAAGAGAUUGUGAUAAUAAAAUUAGCUUUUACCUUAAUGAAGUUAUUUUUAAGUAAAAUUAGGUGUAUGCAAUGCCCCAGAUCUAGGCUCUUAUAGAAAUAUUUGGUAAUCAAUCUCCUGAGUAAAAUAUGGAUUAUGAGUUACAAGAAGUAUGAACACUGGUAUGCUCUUUGCUAUUCAGUAAAAUACUAGGAAUCCUUGAUCACCAGGAAUCUUUGAUUACUAUGUGAUUACCUCUUGCAUAGGUAACAUUUCCCCCAAGUUUAUAGUAGUAUAAAGAUUCACUGUUAACUAUCUGUAGUGACACGGAUACGCUUCACAAUCACUACAUGUAAGAUAUAUAACACCCAAUUAUAGUAUUCACUAAAAUAUACAUACAUUUGAG
rnacentral:lncRNA from 1 species